rnacentral:rRNA from 1 species
GGGUUGUGAGGUUAAGCGACUAAGCGUACACGGUGGAUGCCCUGGCAGUCAGAGGCGAUGAAGGACGUGCUAAUCUGCGAUAAGCGCCGGUAAGGUGAUAUGAACCGUUAUAACCGGCGAUUUCCGAAUGGGGAAACCCAGUGUGAUUCGUCACACUAUCAUUAACUGAAUCCAUAGGUUAAUGAGGCGAACCGGGGGAACUGAAACAUCUAAGUACCCCGAGGAAAAGAAAUCAACCGAGAUUCCCCCAGUAGCGGCGAGCGAACGGGGAGGAGCCCAGAGCCUGAAUCAGCAUGUGUGUUAGUGGAAGCGUCUGGAAAGGCGCGCGAUACAGGGUGACAGCCCCGUACACAAAAGCGCAUGUGCUGUGAGCUCGAUGAGUAGGGCGGGACACGUGGUAUCCUGUCUGAAUAUGGGGGGACCAUCCUCCAAGGCUAAAUACUCCUGACUGACCGAUAGUGAACCAGUACCGUGAGGGAAAGGCGAAAAGAACCCCGGCGAGGGGAGUGAAAAAGAACCUGAAACCGUGUACGUACAAGCAGUGGGAGCACCCUUUGGGGUGUGACUGCGUACCUUUUGUAUAAUGGGUCAGCGACUUAUAUUCUGUAGCAAGGUUAACCGUAUAGGGGAGCCGCAGGGAAACCGAGUCUUAACCGGGCGUUAAGUUGCAGGGUAUAGACCCGAAACCCGGUGAUCUAGCCAUGGGCAGGUUGAAGGUUGGGUAACACUAACUGGAGGACCGAACCGACUAAUGUUGAAAAAUUAGCGGAUGACCUGUGGCUGGGGGUGAAAGGCCAAUCAAACCGGGAGAUAGCUGGUUCUCCCCGAAAGCUAUUUAGGUAGCGCCUCGUGAAUUCAUCUCCGGGGGUAGAGCACUGUUUCGGCUAGGGGGCCAUCCCGGCUUACCAACCCGAUGCAAACUGCGAAUACCGGAGAAUGUUAUCACGGGAGACACACGGCGGGUGCUAACGUCCGUCGUGAAGAGGGAAACAACCCAGACCGCCAGCUAAGGUCCCAAAGUCAUGGUUAAGUGGGAAACGAUGUGGGAAGGCCCAGACAGCCAGGAUGUUGGCUUAGAAGCAGCCAUCAUUUAAAGAAAGCGUAAUAGCUCACUGGUCGAGUCGGCCUGCGCGGAAGAUGUAACGGGGCUAAACCAUGCACCGAAGCUGCGGCAGCGACACUUAGGUGUUGUUGGGUAGGGGAGCGUUCUGUAAGCCUGUGAAGGUGGCCUGUGAGGGUUGCUGGAGGUAUCAGAAGUGCGAAUGCUGACAUAAGUAACGAUAAAGCGGGUGAAAAGCCCGCUCGCCGGAAGACCAAGGGUUCCUGUCCAACGUUAAUCGGGGCAGGGUGAGUCGACCCCUAAGGCGAGGCCGAAAGGCGUAGUCGAUGGGAAACGGGUUAAUAUUCCCGUACUUGGUGUUACUGCGAAGGGGGGACGGAGAAGGCUAUGUUGGCCGGGCGACGGUUGUCCCGGUUUAAGCGUGUAGGUGUGUGUUCCAGGUAAAUCCGGUUCACUUUAACACUGAGGCGUGAUGACGAGGCACUACGGUGCUGAAGCAACAAAUGCCCUGCUUCCAGGAAAAGCCUCUAAGCAUCAGGUAACAUCAAAUCGUACCCCAAACCGACACAGGUGGUCAGGUAGAGAAUACCAAGGCGCUUGAGAGAACUCGGGUGAAGGAACUAGGCAAAAUGGUGCCGUAACUUCGGGAGAAGGCACGCUGACACGUAGGUGAAGUGAUUUACUCACGGAGCUGAAGUCAGUCGAAGAUACCAGCUGGCUGCAACUGUUUAUUAAAAACACAGCACUGUGCAAACACGAAAGUGGACGUAUACGGUGUGACGCCUGCCCGGUGCCGGAAGGUUAAUUGAUGGGGUCAGCGCAAGCGAAGCUCCUGAUCGAAGCCCCGGUAAACGGCGGCCGUAACUAUAACGGUCCUAAGGUAGCGAAAUUCCUUGUCGGGUAAGUUCCGACCUGCACGAAUGGCGUAAUGAUGGCCAGGCUGUCUCCACCCGAGACUCAGUGAAAUUGAACUCGCUGUGAAGAUGCAGUGUACCCGCGGCAAGACGGAAAGACCCCGUGAACCUUUACUAUAGCUUGACACUGAACAUUGAGCCUUGAUGUGUAGGAUAGGUGGGAGGCUUUGAAGUGUGGACGCCAGUCUGCAUGGAGCCGACCUUGAAAUACCACCCUUUAAUGUUUGAUGUUCUAACGUGGACCCGUAAUCCGGGUUGCGGACAGUGUCUGGUGGGUAGUUUGACUGGGGCGGUCUCCUCCUAAAGAGUAACGGAGGAGCACGAAGGUUGGCUAAUCCUGGUCGGACAUCAGGAGGUUAGUGCAAUGGCAUAAGCCAGCUUGACUGCGAGCGUGACGGCGCGAGCAGGUGCGAAAGCAGGUCAUAGUGAUCCGGUGGUUCUGAAUGGAAGGGCCAUCGCUCAACGGAUAAAAGGUACUCCGGGGAUAACAGGCUGAUACCGCCCAAGAGUUCAUAUCGACGGCGGUGUUUGGCACCUCGAUGUCGGCUCAUCACAUCCUGGGGCUGAAGUAGGUCCCAAGGGUAUGGCUGUUCGCCAUUUAAAGUGGUACGCGAGCUGGGUUUAGAACGUCGUGAGACAGUUCGGUCCCUAUCUGCCGUGGGCGCUGGAGAACUGAGGGGGGCUGCUCCUAGUACGAGAGGACCGGAGUGGACGCAUCACUGGUGUUCGGGUUGUCAUGCCAAUGGCACUGCCCGGUAGCUAAAUGCGGAAGAGAUAAGUGCUGAAAGCAUCUAAGCACGAAACUUGCCCCGAGAUGAGUUCUCCCUGAGACUUAGAGUCUCCUGAAGGAACGUUGAAGACGACGACGUUGAUAGGCCGGGUGUGUAAGCGCAGCGAUGCGUUGAGCUAACCGGUACUAAUGAACCGUGAGGCUUAACCUUACAACGCCGAAG